rnacentral:rRNA from 1 species
GACGACGCUGGCGGCGUGCCUAAUACAUGCAAGUCGAACGAGGGGCGGACGGGUGAGUAACACGUGGGAACCUACCCAUCAGAGGGGGAUAACACUUGGAUACUGGUGCUUAUACCCCCUACUGAUGGAUGGACCUGCGGUGGAUUAGCUUGUUGGUGGGGUAACGGCUUACCAAGGCGACGAUCCCUAGCGGGUCUGAGAGGAUGACCAGCCACACUGGAACUGAGACACGGUCCAGACUCCUACGGGAGGCAGCAGUGGGGAAUAUUGCACAAUGGGCGCAAGCCUGAUGCAGCCAUGCCGCGUGUAUGAAGAAGGCCUUCGGGUUGUAAAGUACUUUCAGCGGGGAGGCGUUACCCGCAGAAGAAGCACCGGCUAACUCCGUGCCAGCAGCCGCGGUAAUAC